rnacentral:rRNA from 1 species
UGGCGGACGGGUGAGUAACGCGUAAAGAACUUGCCAUUUAGACUGGGAUAACAGAGGGAAACUUCUGAUAAUACUGGAUAAGUUAGUAUAUCGCAUGAUAUGCAAAUGAAAGCUACGGCACUAAAGGAGAGCUUUGCGUCCUAUUAGCUAGUUGGUAAGGUAAGAGCUUACCAAGGCGAUGAUAGGUAGCCGGCCUGAGAGGGUGGACGGCCACAAGGGGACUGAGAUACGGCCCUUACUCCUACGGGAGGCAGCAGCC